rnacentral:rRNA from 1 species
UACGGAGGGUGCGAGCGUUAUCCGGAAUCACUGGGUUUAAAGGGUGCGUAGGCGGGUUAUUAAGUCAGUGGUGAAAUCCUGUCGCUUAACGAUAGAAUUGCCAUUGAUACUGAUAGUCUUGAAUUGGGUUGAGGUUAGCGGAAUGUGACAUGUAGCGGUGAAAUGCAUAGAUAUGUCAUGGAACACCAAUUGCGAAGGCAGCUAGCUGGGCCUUGAUUGACGCUGAUGCACGAAAGCGUGGGUAGCGAACAGG